rnacentral:lncRNA from 1 species
GAUACCUAUCUAUCGUAUCAGCUGAUCAGUCAGCUCGGACGGACCUCUGACGUCACUGGUUCCGAUCGAUCGGAUGCUAGCGUGCGACUCUGGCGGCAGCGGCGACCGAGAGAGGGGGAUUCGUCUGGCGGGCGACGAGAGAGCGCGUCAGUGUGAAUCCGGCGGUCGGCGUGAGAUCAGCGUGUCAGCGCUACUGAGCUGGGUUCAAGCGUGGACGAAGAAUGGAUAAGGAGACACUGACAAAGCAGAUUGAGAACAUGAAGUAUCAGGCAGCGAUGGAGAGGUGGCCACUGAGCAAGAGCAUAGCCUCAUUACGGGAGUUUAUCGAAGAGAAUGAGAAAACAGAUCCUCUCAUCUACGCGGUCGACAAGAAAAACAAUCCGUGGGCAGAAAAAGGAAAGUGCAUGCUAAUGUAAAACUGACAAGCAACACAACGGAACAGCGAACAAAACGUGCCCAGAUGAGCGUCUCCCUCAGCGACCAUUGCUAACGAAAAAUGACAUUUCCCGAAGAAACGCCCUCUCCCGGAAAUGCUCGAAGAAUGAUGACGUGUCGCCACUCUCGGCUAGCGGUGCACACUGUAAUAGAACAGGAUGGAUGGAGGGCGGUGCAGCCACUCCCCUCCAGUAAUGGUGAGGGAAUAGUUGGACAUUGGUUCGCGACAAGUAGGUGUUCAGAGUUCUGUUCAAGAUGGGUUUUAAGGGUAUGAUGUAUUGUCAGUUUGUUAGUAUCGUGUUAAUGCGCCUAGAUCACGUCCUUCGUGACGUAUAAGGCGCUUCCAGUUUAUCCCGCAAUAUGUCUUGCGUUGUAGUCAUUUGUUGAGAUCCCAGGGUCCGCCUCUCUACCCUUUCAUGGGAUUAUGAUAGUCACCGUUUAAUUUCUAGUCUGACAUGUAAGUCACAGAGUACAUGGUGCUGUGUUCAGGAUAACUAAAUGAGAGUUCAUGUAGAUUGUGGUCAUAAUUGGGUACAUAUGAGUUUGUGAAAAUGUAACGGUUUUAAUAGUCAUCGUCUCGAUUAAGGUCACAAUCUAGUCGGUAAAUACCAUUGAUAAUUAUUUAUUAACUCGUCUGUAUUGACGCCUAGGUAGCUCGGGUUUCUCACACGAAGGGGCCAAACUGAAUAAUUAAUACCGGAGCGUCCCUACAAAGAAGAUGAAACUCCACUUGUUGAGACCGAUACAAGCGCCAAAUAUCUUCUUACCAACAGACAUGCUAAUGAGCGUUGAACACCCAUAGCCAUACAGCUUACCUCAUGCAGCAAGAAUGUGAGAAUGUGUAUGUGCUGGCAAUUCGUAGGAUAUGUUUCCAGGAGUUGGCUGGAUACUCUAUCUCAGGUAAAUAGCUCACUUUAGCCUUCACGUACAGUGCCACAUAAAGGGACGGGAACUGUGUUUUUUAUUUAUUUACGACCGAAUUAUUUAAGCAUUUUUUCCUCGCAACAUUUCGGGUAUUAUGCAUUACGAUUUACUGUUGUUUGUUGUCAUUGACAUAUUUUCUAUUUAUCGUUACAGAUGAGUCCUAUAUCUGUUAGUCUCGGAAGGGCUUCGUGACGUCGUUUCAUUACGUACUGAUUUGUAUUGAUUGUUUAACUCAAAAUAAAUACGUUUGGAAAAGCAGGCAUUAUCAUGUUGUUAAAAAUAAAUUGUCAGUAUCGUCUGUGCGUACAUACUAGAAUGAUUAUUGUGUUGAUUUGAGGGUUGUCAAUAAAUGACAUCGAUUUAGA